AAAUCAUAUAGGGCCAGGAGGAGAGGACCAAAUUAUGUCUUAGUUACCUGGCUGCUGGUGGUUGUCUCUGUUUUUUGUAGAGCACAGGUGUAACGGCUUUCAGGGUGGGGGUGGGGAACUCUCCACUGAGUAGUGUGCUGAUGUGGGAGAUCUCUGGCUUGGCCUCUUCCGGCCCUCCUCCCACUCAGCUCCCACCAAUGAUGUAUCAAUAAAACCUCUUGCUGCUGGAGAUCUGCUUACCUGGUGGCCAGGGUGGCAAGACAAGUGAAGCCUGACUAUGCCUGCAGCAUCCACUGUGGAAACUACUACAUCUUUGCCAUGCCAAACAGUGAGUAUGCAGGCUGCUCCCGAUCUUGCUGCAAUGUCAUGUUUCUACCAUGAAGAAAAUCAACAGAUCCACUACCCAACCGAGAAUUCAGACUUUAGUCUCCCUUUCUUUUGCAUACCUUGAACCUCUCAUGUGGCACUCUUGGAGGUCUCUUUCAUGUGGCACUAUGGGUGGAGAACCUUACCCAUAGGAAGGGAAGGGGAAAGCUGCAGGACUCCCCAAACUCCAACACUUUUGAUCCUGAUGAUCCUCUUUCUCUCUUCUCUCCCUAGUCCUCUGUUUAUAUAGAGUGGGGGUGAAUAACACUGGGGUAGUAGAACCAGUUCAGUCACCCCUUCCUAAGCCCUAGAGGUGGUGCUGCCCCAAUUUAUUUGCAGCUUUCUAGAAUGUGAAGUCUUUUUGUCCUAGCUCUAAAUAUGAGGCAUUAGGAAAAGUGCCUUUGGAAAUCCUAUUGCAAAUAUCUGUUGAGGGAACCAACCAAUGUGUUUGCUGCGUUGUCGGCUCCUUAGGAGUCUCUGACCAAGUUAGUCACAGGGAUAGGAGACACUUGUUGAGGGGACUGUGUUUCCUAUGUCAGUAAAGGAGGAAGGAAACAAACCAAGGCACUGCCUGUCAGGGGAUGUGCAGACCCUCAUGGGCAGCUGGAACAUCAGAGGCAGAAUUGGCAUGGUGAGGUCUGGGUGAAAAGUGGGAGUUAUGAAAAAAAAUAAUCAGCAGGAUGGGAUGAGACAGAGGAACAGAAAAAUGAGAGAUGGAAAGAUGAUGGGAAUAGAACAUGAUGGUGACAAAAAUUUGUAGGAGGAGAAGAUGGUGGAGGAGAGAGGAGGAAAGACAGGCAGGCUGGAGUUGGGGGAGGGGACCAGGCAAAAGGAGUGGGCUCUCACUCACCCAACUGGGGCAAAGGGCUGGGCAGAGCAGCUGGCGAAAGAGAAUAGAGCCUGUGGUUAGCAUUUGCCAGCUGGUGCAGGUGGCUCUGAGCUAAAUCCAUCCUCUGCCCCACCAUGCAGUCUUCUAAGGAGGUUAGAGAUGGGGGAGGAGGAGUAGAAAGAAUUGUGGGGAAGAGAGAGCACACUCUCCAGGUGCAGGAGCUGCCACUUUAACAAACGCACUUGAAGAUAGCCCAAGAACACUGUGGAGGAGCUUGAUCUUUUUAUUCCUGGACAAGAAGGGACAAUGAGAGAUGGAACCUUUCUAAGGCUGCUUUGAUCAUACCAACAGUUGUG
rnacentral:lncRNA from 1 species